AGUGAACGCUGGCGGCAGGCCUAACACAUGCCAGUCGAACGGACGCACAGUAAGAGCUCGCCCCUACGGGUAGCGAGUGACGGGCGAGUGAGGCAUAAAUCGGAAUCUACUUUUUCGUGGGGGAUAACGUAGGGCAACAUAUAAUACUACCGCAUACGACCUACGGGUGAAAGCAAGGGAUCAUCGGACCUUGCCCGACUGUAAGAGCCGAUGCCGCACUAGCUAGUUGGCUGGGUAAAGGCCCACCAAGGCGACGAUCCGUAGCUGGUCUGAGAGGAUGAUCGGCCACACUGGAACUGAGACACGGUCCAGACUCCUACGGGAGGCAGCAGUAGGGAAUCUUGGGCAAUGGGCGCAAGCCUGAUGCAGCAAUGCCGCGUGAGUGAUGAAGGCCUUCGGAUUGUAAAGCCCUGUUAUUAGGAAAGAAAAGAAGCGGAAUAAUACGCGGAUAUUCUGACGGUACCCAAAGAGAAAGCACCGGCUAACUUCGUG
rnacentral:rRNA from 1 species